GACGAACGCUGGCGGCGUGCCUAAUACAUGCAAGUUGAGCGCUGAAGGUUGGUACUUGUACCCACUGGAUGAGCAGCGAACGGGUGAGUAACGCGUGGGGAAUCUGCCUUUGAGCGGGGGACAACAUUUGGAAACGAAUGCUAAUACCGCAUAACAACUUUAAACACAAGUUUUAAGUUUGAAAGAUGCAAUUGCAUCACUCAAAGAUGAUCCCGCGUUGUAUUAGCUAGUUGGUGAGGUAAAGGCUCACCAAGGCGAUGAUACAUAGCCGACCUGAGAGGGUGAGCGGCCACAUUGGGACUGAGACACGGCCCAAACUCCUACGGGAGGCAGCAGUAGGGAAUCUUCGGCAAUGGACGAAAGUCUGACCGAGCAACGCCGCGUGAGUGAAGAAGGGUUUCGGAUCGUAAAACUCUGUUGGUAGAGAAGAACGUUGGGGAGAGUGGAAAGCUCAUCAAGUGACGGUAACUACCCAGAAAGGGACGGCUAACUACGUG
rnacentral:rRNA from 1 species